GAUGAACGCUGGCGGUAUGCCUAACACAUGCAAGUCGUACGAGAGUUUUUAACUCUAGUGGCGGACGGGUGAGUAACACGUGAGAAUUUGCCUUUAGAGGGGGAUAACAAUUGGAAACGAAUGCUAAUACCCCAUAUGCUUUUGAGUGAAACGGAUUUAUCCGCCUAGAGAGAAGCUCGCGGCCGAUUAGCUUGUUGGUAAGGUAAGAGCUUACCAAGGCGACGAUCAGUAUCUGGUUUGAGAGGACGAUCAGACACACUGGAACUGAGACACGGUCCAGACUCCUACGGGAGGCAGCAGUGGGGAAUUUUCCGCAAUGGGCGAAAGCCUGACGGAGCAAUACCGCGUGAGGGAAGACUGCCUAUGGGUUGUAAACCUCUUUUUCAGGGAGGAAUAAAUGACGUGUACCUGAAGAAUAAGCAUCGGCUAACUCCGUG
rnacentral:rRNA from 1 species